AAGUCAGAUGUGAAAGCCCAGGGCUCACCCUUGGAACUGCAUUUGAUACUGGCAAACUAGAGUAUGGUAGAGGAAUGGGGAAUUUCUGGUGUAGCGGUGAAAUGCGUAGAGAUCAGAAGGAACACCAAUGGCGAAGGCAACAUUCUGGACCAAUACUGACACUGAGGGACGAAAGCGUGGGGAUCAAACAGGAUUAGAUACCCUGGUAGUCCACGCUGUAAACGAUGAGUACUAGCUGUUGGAUUCGGUGUAAAGGAUCUAGUGGCGUAGCUAACGCGUUAAGUACUCCGCCUGGGGACUACGGCCGCAAGGCUAAAACUCAAAGGAAUUGACGGGGACCCGCACAAGCGGUGGAGCAUGUGGUUUAAUUCGAUGCAACGCGAAGAACCUUACCUGGUCUUGACAUCCUGCGAACUUUCUAGAGAUAGAUUGGUGCCUUCGGGAACGCAGUGACAGGUGCUGCACGGCUGUCGUCAGCUCGUGUUGUGAAAUGUUGGGUUAAGUCCCGCAACGAGCGCAACCCCUAUUGAUAGUUACCAUCAUUAAGUUGGGUACUCUAUUGAGACUGCCGCUGACAAGGCGGAGGAAGGUGGGGACGACGUCAAGUCAUCAUGGCCCUUACGACCAGGGCUACACACGUGCUACAAUGGGUAUUACAGAGGGCAGCGAAGUAGCGAUAUGGAGCGAAACUCAGAAAGGUACUCUUAGUCCGGAUUGCAGUCUGCAACUCGACUGCAUGAAGUCGGAAUCGCUAGUAAUCGCGGGUCAGAAUACUGCGGUGAAUACGUUCCCGGGUCUUGUACACACCGCCCGUCACACCAUGGGAGUGGGUUGCUCC
rnacentral:rRNA from 1 species